CACGUGGGUAAUCUGCCCUGCACUCUGGGAUAAGCCUUGGAAACGAGGUCUAAUACCGGAUAGGACACAUGGCCGCAUGGUCUGUGUGUGGAAAGUUCCGGCGGUGCAGGUUGAGCCCGCGGCCUAUCAGCUUGUUGGUGGGGUGAUGGCCUACCAAGGCGACGACGGGUAGCCGGCCUGAGAGGGUGACCGGCCACACUGGGACUGAGACACGGCCCAGACUCCUACGGGAGGCAGCAGUGGGGAAUCUUGCGCAAUGGGCGAAAGCCUGACGCAGCAACGCCGCGUGGGGGAUGACGGCCUUCGGGUUGUAAACCUCUUUCGACAUCGACGAAGCCUUCGGGUGACGGUAGGUGUAGAAGAAGCACCGGCUAACUACGUGCCAGCAGCCGCGGUAAUACGUAGGGUGCGAGCGUUGUCCGGAAUUAUUGGGCGUAAAGAGCUCGUAGGCGGUUUGUCGCGUCGGCCGUGAAAACCUGCCGCUUAACGGUGGGCGUGCGGUCGAUACGGGCAGACUUGAGUUCGGUAGGGGAGACUGGAAUUCCUGGUGUAGCGGUGAAAUGCGCAGAUAUCAGGAGGAACACCGGUGGCGAAGGCGGGUCUCUGGGCCGAUACUGACGCUGAGGAGCGAAAGCGUGGGGAGCGAACAGGAUUAGAUACCCUGGUAGUCCACGCCGUAAACGGUGGGCGCUAGGUGUGGGGACUGUUUCC
rnacentral:rRNA from 1 species